rnacentral:rRNA from 1 species
GAAGGUGACCUGUGAGGGUUGCUGGAGGUAUCAGAAGUGCGAAUGCUGACAUAAGUAACGAUAAAGCGGGUGAAAAGCCCGCUCGCCGGAAGACCAAGGGUUCCUGUCCAACGUUAAUCGGGGCAGGGUGAGUCGACCCCUAAGGCGAGGCCGAAAGGCGUAGUCGAUGGGAAACGGGUUAAUAUUCCCGUACUUGGUGUUACUGCGAAGGGGGGACGGAGAAGGCUAUGUUGGCCGGGCGACGGUUGUCCCGGUUUAAGCGUGUAGGUGUGUGUUCCAGGUAAAUCCGGUUCACUUUAACACUGAGGCGUGAUGACGAGGCACUACGGUGCUGAAGCAACAAAUGCCCUGCUUCCAGGAAAAGCCUCUAAGCAUCAGGUAACAUCAAAUCGUACCCCAAACCGACACAGGUGGUCAGGUAGAGAAUACCAAGGCGCUUGAGAGAACUCGGGUGAAGGAACUAGGCAAAAUGGUGCCGUAACUUCGGGAGAAGGCACGCUGACACGUAGGUGAAGUGAUUUACUCACGGAGCUGAAGUCAGUCGAAGAUACCAGCUGGCUGCAACUGUUUAUUAAAAACACAGCACUGUGCAAACACGAAAGUGGACGUAUACGGUGUGACGCCUGCCCGGUGCCGGAAGGUUAAUUGAUGGGGUCAGCGCAAGCGAAGCUCCUGAUCGAAGCCCCGGUAAACGGCGGCCGUAACUAUAACGGUCCUAAGGUAGCGAAAUUCCUUGUCGGGUAAGUUCCGACCUGCACGAAUGGCGUAAUGAUGGCCAGGCUGUCUCCACCCGAGACUCAGUGAAAUUGAACUCGCUGUGAAGAUGCAGUGUACCCGCGGCAAGACGGAAAGACCCCGUGAACCUUUACUAUAGCUUGACACUGAACAUUGAGCCUUGAUGUGUAGGAUAGGUGGGAGGCUUUGAAGUGUGGACGCCAGUCUGCAUGGAGCCGACCUUGAAAUACCACCCUUUAAUGUUUGAUGUUCUAACGUGGACCCGUAAUCCGGGUUGCGGACAGUGUCUGGUGGGUAGUUUGACUGGGGCGGUCUCCUCCUAAAGAGUAACGGAGGAGCACGAAGGUUGGCUAAUCCUGGUCGGACAUCAGGAGGUUAGUGCAAUGGCAUAAGCCAGCUUGACUGCGAGCGUGACGGCGCGAGCAGGUGCGAAAGCAGGUCAUAGUGAUCCGGUGGUUCUGAAUGGAAGGGCCAUCGCUCAACGGAUAAAAGGUACUCCGGGGAUAACAGGCUGAUACCGCCCAAGAGUUCAUAUCGACGGCGGUGUUUGGCACCUCGAUGUCGGCUCAUCACAUCCUGGGGCUGAAGUAGGUCCCAAGGGUAUGGCUGUUCGCCAUUUAAAGUGGUACGCGAGCUGGGUUUAGAACGUCGUGAGACAGUUCGGUCCCUAUCUGCCGUGGGCGCUGGAGAACUGAGGGGGGCUGCUCCUAGUACGAGAGGACCGGAGUGGACGCAUCACUGGUGUUCGGGUUGUCAUGCCAAUGGCACUGCCCGGUAGCUAAAUGCGGAAGAGAUAAGUGCUGAAAGCAUCUAAGCACGAAACUUGCCCCGAGAUGAGUUCUCCCUGAGACUUAGAGUCUCCUGAAGGAACGUUGAAGACGACGACGUUGAUAGGCCGGGUGUGUAAGCGCAGCGAUGCGUUGAGCUAACCGGUACUAAUGAACCGUGAGGCUUAACCUU